UACGGGGGGAGCAAGCGUUGUUCGGAUUUACUGGGCGUAAAGGGCGCGUAGGCGGUCGUGACAAGUCAGUUGUGAAAGCCCCGGGCUCAACCCGGGAAGUGCUUCUGAUACUGCAUAGCUUGAGUACUGGAGAGGAUAGUAGAAUUCCAGGUGUAGUGGUGAAAUACGUAGAUAUCUGGAGGAAUACCGGUGGCGAAGGCGGCUAUCUGGCCAUGUACUGACGCUGAGACACGAAAGCGUGGGGAGCAAACAGG
rnacentral:rRNA from 1 species